GCCUUCAGGGUGUAGUGGUCAGCACGCUCGACGCGUAACCGAGAGGUCCGUGGUUCGAUUCCCGGCGAAGGCG
rfam:Stegodyphus mimosarum contig58362, whole genome shotgun sequence.